GCAAGUCGAACGGAAACGAUGGUAGCUUGCUACCAGGCGUCGAGUGGCGGACGGGUGAGUAAUGUAUCGGAAUACAUCCGCGAGAGGGGGAUAACAUAGCGAAAGUUAUGCUAAUACCGCAUAUUCUCUGAGGAGGAAAGAUGGGGAUCUUCGGACCUGUCGCUCACGGAGUAGCCGAUAUCGGAUUAGCUAGUAGGAGAGGUAAAAGCUCACCUAGGCGACGAUCCCUAGCUGGUCUGAGAGGAUGAUC
rnacentral:rRNA from 1 species